CAGUCGUACCGACGAGAAAUCAGCUCUUCGAGUGCUAACUUGUGGGUGUGCGUGAGUCUUUAACGGGCCUCGCCGUUUGCAAUGUUUGUGCUUUUUGGGUGUACUUUUUCGUAUGGUAGGCCAACGUCAGUUUCGAUUAUCAUAAAAUGAUUGGAGGAAUGUAGCUUCGAUCUCGUAUUGAAGUGUUAUAGCCUUCGGUAGAUGUGAUGAACGAGAUUGAGGAUUGCAACGGAUACCCUUUGGGGCUACCUGUCUGGUCUCUGAUCGUUGCUCUGGUGCCGAAAGCUUGCUUACGGUUAUCAAAGUCGAUGGUCAAUAGGUUAGAAUGGGUUAAA
rnacentral:rRNA from 1 species